rnacentral:rRNA from 1 species
AGAGUUUGAUCCUGGCUCAGAACGAACGCUGGUGGCGUGCCUUAUACAUGCAAGUCGUGCGGUAACACUUCGGGUGACGAGCGGCGAACGGGUGAGUAACAUGUGAGUAACCUGCCCCUCAGUUUGGGAUAGCCCGCCUAACGGCGGAUUAAUACCAAAUAUUGUGGUCCAACGCCUGUUGGAUUGACGAAAGCGGCUUCGGUCGCGUUGGGGGAUGGACUCGCACAAGAUUAGUUAGUUGGUGAGGUAACGGCUCACCAAGACAGCGAUCUUUAGCCGGCCUGAGAGGGUGAUCGGCCACAUUGGGACUGAGAUACGGCCCAGACUCCUACGGGAGGCAGCAGUAGGGAAUAUUGCGCAAUGGGGGAAACCCUGACGCAGCAACGCCACGUGUGGGAUGACGCAUUUAGGUGUGUAAACCACUGUCAACAGGGAAUAAACUACAGCUUAAUAACCUGUAUUGAAGGUACCUGUAAAGGAAGCACCGGCUAACUUCGUGCCAGCAGCCGCGGUAAUACGAGGGGUGCAAGCGUUGUUCGGAAUCACUGGGCGUAAAGGGUGCGUAGGCGGAAAAGCAAGUCAGAUGUUUAAUUUUGGGGCCUAACCCCAAGUCGGCAUUUGAAACUGCUUUUCUUGAGUAGGUUAGAGGUAAGCGGAAUACCUGGUGUAGCGGUGGAAUGCGUAGAGAUCAGGUAGAACAC